UACGAAGGGGGCUAGCGUUGUUCGGAUUUACUGGGCGUAAAGCGCACGUAGGCGGAUCUUUUAAGUCAGGGGUGAAAUCCCGAGGCUCAACCUCGGAACUGCCUUUGAUACUGGGGAUCUCGAGUCCGGGAGAGGUGAGUGGAACUGCGAGUGUAGAGGUGAAAUUCGUAGAUAUUCGCAAGAACACCAGUGGCGAAGGCGGCUCACUGGCCCGAUACUGACGCUGAGGCACGAAAGCGUGGGGAGCAAACAGG
rnacentral:rRNA from 1 species